rnacentral:rRNA from 1 species
UACGUAGGGGGGCGAGCGUUGUCCGGAUUCAUUGGGCGUAAAGCGCGCGUAGGCGGCUCGACAAGUCGGCCGUGAAAUCUCCAGGCUUAACUUGGAGGGGUCGGGCGAGACUGUCGGGCUCGAGGUGGGCAGAGGGCAGUGGAAUUCCGGGUGUAGUGGUGGAAUGCGUAGAGAUCCGGAGGAACACCAGUGGCGAAGGCGGCUGCCUGGGCCUGGCCUGACGCUGAGGCGCGAAAGCGUGGGGAGCGAUCCGG